rnacentral:tRNA from 1 species
GGAGGUAACUCAGUGUGUAAAAGUGCUUGCCUUGUAAGCAUGAGGACCUGGGUUUGACCCCCAGGACCUUUA